rnacentral:lncRNA from 1 species
UUUCCAGGCUCCCCUCGGCGGGGCUGAAUGAUCAAAACUGGUGGUGAGAAUUUUUCCGAGCCGUUUCUAGGCAGCCCUCCCCCUCCACCAGCUCUGCCCCCCCUUCCUCCUUCUCCUCCCUUUUCCUCCCCCCCCACCCCCUUCCUCCAGCGUCUGGGCUCAGUGAUCAAAAUAGAGGAAGAUGGUUGUCGCCGCAAUCCAGGGCUUUGCAAGGCGCGGUUUAAUGGGCCGCCUGUCAGCUUCCUGCUAGCAGGAGGAGGUGACAAGCCAAGAGAGCCGGGAAGGGCCUGGAGCCCGGCGGGCUGCACCCUGCGCCCCGAGACGGGGCCCCCCACCUCCCCUGGGGUGCGCCUCUAGAAUGCGCGGUGGACAAGGGCUGCUUUUUCCCUUUUUCUUUCUUUUUUUUUUUUUCCUUCCUUUUAAAACAAAGCAGCAAUUCAUCCCCCUUUCCCCCAGCAGCGCGGUUGGGUGGGAUGGGCAGGCGAGAAGCCCGUUUCCCUUGCCCCAGCCUGCGGGUCCCUCCCCUGAAAUGCGGUGUCAGAUGGUUACUCGUUGAUAUUUUGGAGAGGCCGCGGCGGCGGGCAGCGCAAAAUCCUUUCUGGGUUGAGUCUCUGCGAGCUGCCCGCUGCAGAUCUUACCAGGCUGGGGGCGCAGGAAGCGCGCGGACCCUGCGAGAGGGAGAAGUCCUAGGGACCCCGCACCCCAUCCGCAGCCCCGCAGGCACCCGAGCCCGGCUAGGCUUACCUACCCUCGAAAGGACGCUUGGAAGUAUACAAAUCCUUGGCGAUCCUGCCUUGGAGAACAACCGUGGUGAUAAGGUUUUAAUUAAAACAGAAGCCCGCUCUUUUCACCCCGCUCUGCGGACUCAGCGUUUUAGCACUGCUCCUAUCUUUUUUUUUUUUUUUAAGAAAAAUCCAUUUUUAAGGGAACUUUACUGGAGGAGAGGAGGGAUGAGCUUAGUUAGCGCGCCCAUUCGUUCUAUUUUCUUCACUUUUAGAAAUAAAAGGGAGGGUUCGGGAACGAACUGGGGGUGUCUAAUUUAAUUCCAGGAUAAAUUUGAGGGAAAAAAAAAAAGUUCGGGCUCUGGAGAGCAGUUUCAAGUUGCCCUUCUGUAGCUCCUGCGCUGGUUUCUAGGCCGCCCUCUUUUGGAAGCUGGAGCUCCGCAGGGGGAGGAGGGAGAAGUGAGAAGGGGAGAAAAGGAACGAAAAUAGCCGGAGCCGAAGGGAACUAGCGGUGGUGGCCGCGCUUGGAGCUGGGCGCACGGGUCUCAGUGGCAACCUGGGCGGCGGGAGGCGCCCGGUGCAGCCCCGGGACAACAAGGAGCAAAGACCGAGAGAGGGGGGUGUUAGAGAAAGGAGGUAUUGUGUCUGUGUGCCU